rnacentral:rRNA from 1 species
AGAGUUUGAUCCUGGCUCAGAUUGAACGCUGGCGGCAGGCCUAACACAUGCAAGUCGAGCGGUAGAGAGGAGCUUGCUCCUCUUGAGAGCGGCGGACGGGUGAGUAAUGCCUAGGAAUCUGCCUGGUAGUGGGGGAUAACGUUCGGAAACGGACGCUAAUACCGCAUACGUCCUACGGGAGAAAGCAGGGGACCUUCGGGCCUUGCGCUAUCAGAUGAGCCUAGGUCGGAUUAGCUAGUUGGUGAGGUAAUGGCUCACCAAGGCGACGAUCCGUAACUGGUCUGAGAGGAUGAUCAGUCACACUGGAACUGAGACACGGUCCAGACUCCUACGGGAGGCAGCAGUGGGGAAUAUUGGACAAUGGGCGAAAGCCUGAUCCAGCCAUGCCGCGUGUGUGAAGAAGGUCUUCGGAUUGUAAAGCACUUUAAGUUGGGAGGAAGGGCAGUAAAUUAAUACUUUGCUGUUUUGACGUUACCGACAGAAUAAGCACCGGCUAACUCUGUGCCAGCAGCCGCGGUAAUACAGAGGGUGCAAGCGUUAAUCGGAAUUACUGGGCGUAAAGCGCGCGUAGGUGGUUUGUUAAGUUGGAUGUGAAAUCCCCGGGCUCAACCUGGGAACUGCAUUCAAAACUGACUGACUAGAGUAUGGUAGAGGGUGGUGGAAUUUCCUGUGUAGCGGUGAAAUGCGUAGAUAUAGGAAGGAACACCAGUGGCGAAGGCGACCACCUGGACUAAUACUGACACUGAGGUGCGAAAGCGUGGGGAGCGAACAGGAUUAGAUACCCUGGUAGUCCACGCCGUAAACGAUGUCAACUAGCCGUUGGAAGCCUUGAGCUUUUAGUGGCGCAGCUAACGCAUUAAGUUGACCGCCUGGGGAGUACGGCCGCAAGGUUAAAACUCAAAUGAAUUGACGGGGGCCCGCACAAGCGGUGGAGCAUGUGGUUUAAUUCGAAGCAACGCGAAGAACCUUACCAGGCCUUGACAUCCAAUGAACUUUCUAGAGAUAGAUUGGUGCCUUCGGGAACAUUGAGACAGGUGCUGCAUGGCUGUCGUCAGCUCGUGUCGUGAGAUGUUGGGUUAAGUCCCGUAACGAGCGCAACCCUUGUCCUUAGUUACCAGCACGUCAUGGUGGGCACUCUAAGGAGACUGCCGGUGACAAACCGGAGGAAGGUGGGGAUGACGUCAAGUCAUCAUGGCCCUUACGGCCUGGGCUACACACGUGCUACAAUGGUCGGUACAGAGGGUUGCCAAGCCGCGAGGUGGAGCUAAUCCCACAAAACCGAUCGUAGUCCGGAUCGCAGUCUGCAACUCGACUGCGUGAAGUCGGAAUCGCUAGUAAUCGCGAAUCAGAAUGUCGCGGUGAAUACGUUCCCGGGCCUUGCACUCAACGCCCGUC